rnacentral:lncRNA from 1 species
UGGGUCCUGGUCCAAGACAUGAGUCAGUUUCUCGAAACCCAGAAUAAUUCUGUAGUUCCUCAACCUGUCCUUGAAAUUAGGUCCAGUCAAUCUGUGGGUGUCUAGUAUUUUGAUCAGGGGGUUGGACGCAGACAUAUUUUCUGUAGAGAGUCAAAAGUUUUUAGUUAGAUUUUGUAAUCAGACUUAACCAAUUUAUUUAGAGGUUUUAUUUUUAAAUAAAUUAGGCUCCCACUAUUUUCUCAAAUCCCUACACUCCCUAGGUAGAGAUGUGAAAAUCUCCGUGAUUAGUGAUUUCUAGUGGGUGGUGCGGUCUCACCAACUGGCUCACCACCUCACCUAAUAGUUAUUGGUGAUGGGUCAACCGAUGAGUGGACAACUCUUGUCCAAUGAUUCUCUAAUCAUGGUGCACCCAAAACUUGGUCUCUAAUUCAUAAAGCUCACCGUGUCCGAAAUAUUGCUCCAAUCC